AAGUCGUAACAAGGUUUCCGUAGGUGAACCUGCGGAAGGAUCAUUACAGAGAUUGGGGCGGAUUCCGCAGAUAUACUUGUGAACCAGCUCUUCAUUGAGUUGUUGACCCCCCUCCCUCCACCCUUGAAUAAAUUACCUUUGUUGCUUUGGCGGGCCGCCUCGUGCCAGCGGCUUCGGCUGUUGAGUGCCCGCCAGAGGACCACAACUCUUGUUUUAGUGAUGUCUGAGUACUAUAUAAUAGUUAAAACUUUCAACAACGGAUCUCUUGGUUCUGGCAUCGAUGAAGAACGCAGCGAAAUGCGAUAAGUAAUGUGAAUUGCAGAAUUCAGUGAAUCAUCGAAUCUUUGAACGCACAUUGCGCCCUCUGGUAUUCCGGAGGGCAUGCCUGUUCGAGCGUCAUUAUAACCACUCAAGCUCUCGCUUGGUAUUGGGGUUCGCGGUUCCGCGGCCCCUAAAAUCAGUGGCGGUGCCGAUCGGCUCUACGCGUAGUAAAUACUCCUCGCGUCUGGGUCCGGUCGGUUAUCUUGCCAGUAAUCCCCAAUUUUUUACAGGUUGACCUCGGAUCAGGUAGGGAUACCCGCUGAACUUAAGCAUAUCAAUAAGCGGAGGAAAAGAAACCAACAGGGAUUACCUCAGUAACGGCGAGUGAAGCGGUAACAGCUCAAAUUUGAAAGCUGGCUCUUUUAGGGUCCGCGUUGUAAUUUGUAGAAGAUGCUUCGGGUGUGGCCCCGGUCUAAGUUCCUUGGAACAGGACGUCAUAGAGGGUGAGAAUCCCGUAUGUGACUGGGUGCUUUCGCUCAUGUGAAGCUCUUUCGACGAGUCGAGUUGUUUGGGAAUACAGCUCAAAAUGGGUGGUAAAUUUCAUCUAAAGCUAAAUAUUGGCCAGAGACCGAUAGCGCACAAGUAGAGUGAUCGAAAGAUGAAAAGCAUUUUGGAAAGAGAGUUAAACAGUACGUGAAAUUGUUGAAAGGGAAGCGCUUGCAACCAGACUUGCGCGCUGAUGAUCAUCCGGGCUUCUGCCUGGUGCACUCGUCUGCGCUCAGGCCAGCAUCGGUUUCGGUGGUGGGAUAAAGGCCUUGGGAAUGUAGCUCCUCUCGGGGAGUGUUAUGGCCCUCGGUGCAAUGCCGCCUACCGGGACCGAGGACCGCGCUUCGGCUAGGAUGCUGGCGUAAUGGUUGUAAGCGACC
rnacentral:rRNA from 1 species